UACGGAGGGUGCUAGCGUUAAUCAGAAUUACUGGGCGUAAAGAGCACGUAGGUGGUUUGUUGAGUCAGAUGUGAAAUCCCUGGGCUUAACCUAGGAACUGCAUUUGAAACUGGCAAGCUAGAGUAUCAUAGAGGGAGGUAGAAUUCUAGGUGUAGCGGUGAAAUGCGUAGAUAUCUAGAGGAAUACCUGUGGCGAAAGCGACCUCCUAAAUGAAUACUGACGCUGAGGUGCGAAAGCGUGGGGAGCAAACAGG
rnacentral:rRNA from 1 species